GACGAACGCUGGCGGCGUGCCUAACACAUGCAAGUCGAACGGAGUUAAUUGCUUCGGUGAUUAACUUAGUGGCGAACGGGUGAGUAACGCGUGAGAAACCUACCUUUCAGUGGGGGACAACAGUUGGAAACGACUGCUAAUACCGCAUAAUGUAUUCGGGGGGCAUCCUCUGGAUACCAAAGCUUAAUGUGCUGAAAGAUGGUCUCGCGUCUGAUUAGCUAGUUGGCGGGGUAACGGCCCACCAAGGCGACGAUCAGUAGCCGGUCUGAGAGGAUGAACGGCCACAUUGGGACUGAGAUACGGCCCAGACUCCUACGGGAGGCAGCAGUGGGGAAUAUUGGGCAAUGGGGGAAACCCUGACCCAGCAACGCCGCGUGAAGGAAGAAGGCCCUCGGGUUGUAAACUUCUUUUAGCAGGGACGAAGGACGUGACGGUACCUGCAGAAAAAGCAACGGCUAACUACGUG
rnacentral:rRNA from 1 species